CUGAAAAAUAAAGUACAUCCAUCAUUUGUGAGGGAACGUCGUGCUAUGAAGGUGUGCAAGUUAUCAAGUUUUAUGUUGUUUUAUGUUCAUCAUCAUUUCCCCGGUGUGGUAUGACUAAUGCUCUUUUGUUUUUGUUUUUAUUUUUGUUUUUCCUUCACUGAGCCGAGGGUCGAUUGGAAACAGCCUCUCUGCCCUUUCGGGUA
rnacentral:lncRNA from 1 species